rnacentral:rRNA from 1 species
AACGAACGCUGGCGGCAUGCCUAACACAUGCAAGUCGAACGAAGGCUUCGGCCUUAGUGGCGCACGGGUGCGUAACGCGUGGGAAUCUGCCCUUUGGUUCGGAAUAACAGCUGGAAACGGCUGCUAAUACCGGAUGAUGACGAAAGUCCAAAGAUUUAUCGCCAGAGGAUGAGCCCGCGUUGGAUUAGGUAGUUGGUGGGGUAAAGGCCUACCAAGCCGACGAUCCAUAGCUGGUCUGAGAGGAUGAUCAGCCACACUGGGACUGAGACACGGCCCAGACUCCUACGGGAGGCAGCAGUGGGGAAUAUUGGACAAUGGGCGCAAGCCUGAUCCAGCAAUGCCGCGUGAGUGAUGAAGGCCCUAGGGUUGUAAAGCUCUUUUAACCGGGAAGAUAAUGACUGUACCGGGAGAAUAAGCCCCGGCUAACUACGUG